AAUCAGAUAGCCUGGGAAACCCGUCACGGGACGAGACCCAUAAAACCCCCUCGCCACAUAUAAGCCUCCUCUUUCGUUACCGCGACGUCGUUGAGUACACUCGAAACGUUUAGCCACCGCGCAAUUUUUUUUAUGAAUCACGAUGUCUGAUGAAAUAAACAUUAUUAUUUUCCAACCCUAAAGAUCUCAAUAAAAAGGGGAGAUCAACUCGGUCAAGAUAAAGCCGAGGGCCAUUAUCUCGGUCAAGACAAAGCCGAGAAGAAAUAACAGCACGAUGAUAAGGCGGCCAAGAUAAAGCCGAAGAAUAAGAAGUCUAACACUUAUAACCCGGCCAAGACAACGCCGGCUAAUGACACUACACAAUCAGACACCCAGCCCCUUAGGCGGGAGGUAGACAAGGGUACGGAUAAAUCGGAAGAGGCUGUUUACACUCCUUCCGAUCGGGGUAACUCCUCAUCAAAGAGUAUAGGGCGGGCAAGAAGAAGCCUCGCGAUGACCACUCGUGUUCUAAUGACAAUCAGGCUCGAGUUAACGACCCACUACAACCCCUAUAUUUUAUAAGAAGCUUCGACUGGCCCGGGAUUGUGACCGGUCAGUCCAUUCAUUGCCAGACCCCGCCGAGACGGGUCAUCAUCAGUUAUCUAUAGUACAGUCCACCAGGUUGGUGUAUCAUCGUACUUGUAGAAUUGUGCAGAAGUUCAUACAGUGCUGUGGAAUUAAGAUCUAUUCUACGUACAUGCGGUUUAAAAUAAUAAUAAUUAAGAGAAAUUAUUAACAAUUGUAGUAGUUGGAUCUUGGAAGCCUUGCAGGCGAUCCUCCCCCAUCGGGUGCUGCAAUCGACCCAUCCCGACCCCAAGCCGCCCGAGACAAUGAGCUAAUGAAAACUCGACUCAUUCUAGACCAUAAUUCAAUGCUCUAGACGUAGAGAGAGAGGCCUAGAUCGCCUCAUACAGAUCGCGGAGUUGGGGCUAAUGAUAACUCGCCUCGUACUAGCCGUAGAUAAUAGGAGUUUUCCAUCGUGGGAGAAUCUGAUUCGGAAUUCGAUUACCACCGACCCAAUUCAUUAAAAGAGAUUGGGGGCGAUUUCCCCCAUCAAAUCCUUAUACACUGUAAAAAAAAAAAAAAAACGUGAUUUUACAGAAAAUAAACAGAAGAUUAUGCAGAAAGCAAUAACAGAAUCAUUCUGUAAAUUCAUUAAACAGGAACCUUUCUGCAAUUCAACAGAACAGACUCUGCUGCAGGAACUUCUUUUAUUUUAAGGAUAAAUUUUCUAACAGUGUAGCAGCUCCUUGCAUUCCCUGAAAGCUGCCCAGCAAAUGGGAUUCGAUCGAAGAGAUUCACCAUUAGGGGUACGAGAGAGUUCUGGCUUACUCAAACGUGAUACUCCGACUAGUGGGAACAUGCCUUUUAAAUACUGCCCUCAUCUUCGGGCCGAAAACAGUAUACCAGUAGCGUAUACGUACGUAGCUAGCGAAUAAUGAGCGAGAGAGAAGUCAAUCUUCCGCCUGAACUCGUCCGUCUGCGAUCAAGAUGGACGUUCCGUAUAUAGAUCCUGCUUUCGGGACGUCCGCUCCCAGAUAAGCAACACUCUCGGCCUAUACCCAUCAGUAAAGAAGUCUCGAACUUUAUCGGUUUGCCGCUCAAGACUUUGAGGAUUUUGUGUGCAUCCCUUCGGCCCCGGACGUUGCUUUCCGUGUCGGAGAUGCGGGAGCGAGGAAGACUAGAUCGGGCCGUAACCCUCGCCGCGGCACUGGUUACCACUCAGCCGACUAUCAGCUUACAGUUGCAGCGCUGGACGUGGCCGCCCGGAGCGGUAUGGUUUUCGCGAUGUACUACGAGGGGUAUCUGAUAUCCGCUCGUAGUGAAGCUGAGCGGCUUGGACUGAGUCUCUACCAAUGACAAGAACUUAUUGCUAGAGUCACAAAAUCGCUGAUCUCCAGUAUGAGCAAGCAGCAAUCAACACUGCUAUGCACAAGGGCAAGGAGGGCUAAAGACUAGAUGCUCUCAAGAUGAUUGAGAAAGGGGCAGCUACUGAGCUGGACUUCUCAUUCUCAAUAAGCUUCCUUGCGAAGGUAAGGACUUGUUUAUGGACACUUUCAUGAAGUAUUGCACAAGUCUUUUUCAGCCAACACCACAGCUGACAAGACUUUUUAUUAGCUCUCCUCGAGUAGACCUAGUCCGCCAGGCCCUAGUCCAGGGCCAGGCCCAGACCAGAGACCUCCAUACGCUAGCUCUAGCUCCAUACCCUAGACCUAUAAUGAACUUAAAAGGUCAUCCCCCUCUUCCCUUGCUCUGGUAGCGACGCCAGGAAUGAAAGGGGCCGCUGGGAAAGUCAUAGGAAUCCUCAUGGUGGGGGACGGGGCCGCCAGGCGUUCUUUCAAUGCACCAUAUUUCAGGGCCCCCACUCAUAACCGGGACUUAUGACAAUCUAACACUAACCCUUCCCCACAAGCAGUAGGGAGAAGACUAUUUCUUUGCCUUUACUUUUCAUUAUUUGAAAUCUGUUCCAAGUCCUCAGCAAUAUGUAAUAUUGAGG